rnacentral:rRNA from 1 species
UACAGAGGUCUCAAGCGUUGUUCGGAUUCAUUGGGCGUAAAGGGUGCGUAGGCGGCGGGGUAAGUCAGGUGUGAAAUCUCGGAGCUCAACUCCGAAACUGCACUUGAUACUGCCUUGCUCGAGUACUGGAGAGGAGAUUGGAAUUUACGGUGUAGCAGUGAAAUGCGUAGAUAUCGUAAGGAAGACCAGUGGCGAAGGCGAAUCUCUGGACAGUUACUGACGCUGAGGCACGAAGGCCAGGGGAGCAAACAGG